GUCUUUUAGUCCACGGUUUUCCUCAACAACAGAAUGUAUGGCGAAAAUAAAGCUGGAGAUUUCUCCGCUGUUUCUCAGUCCUGUAAACAGUCAUUAUACCUAACUCUGGCCAAAUAUUACACUAAUAUGUCGUGGAAAAGUACAGUUCUAAGAGAUUACUUUAGAGGAUUAAAAAAAAUAGUGACAUAAUUUCGACCCAACGUUUCUCGCCCAACAAACUCUAUAGUGUAGCAGUUUCUAUUUAUUGACUUUAAGCCUUUGAAAAACUGGUAUAAAUGACCACUAUAUUUAGUAUUAUGCAAGGUGAACAGUUAUCUCCUAUUAUCAAAAUCGAAAGCCUAUGUAAUAAGUUGUG